rnacentral:rRNA from 1 species
AGUGAACGCUGGCGGUAGGCCUAACACAUGCAAGUCGAACGGCAGCACAGUAAGAGCUUGCUCUUACGGGUGGCGAGUGGCGGACGGGUGAGGAAUACAUCGGAAUCUACUUUUUCGUGGGGGAUCACGUAGGGAAACUUACGCUAAUACCGCAUACGACCUACGGGUGAAAGCAGUGGAUCUUCGGACCUUGCGCGAUUGAAUGAGCCGAUGUCGGAUUAGCUAGUUGGCGGGGUAAAGGCCCACCAAGGCGACGAUCCGUAGCUGGUCUGAGAGGAUGAUCAGCCACACUGGAACUGAGACACGGUCCAGACUCCUACGGGAGGCAGCAGUGGGGAAUAUUGGACAAUGGGCGCAAGCCUGAUCCAGCCAUACCGCGUGGGUGAAGAAGGCCUUCGGGUUGUAAAGCCCUUUUGUUGGGAAAGAAAAGCAGCAGGUUAAUACCCCGCUGUUCUGACGGUACCGAAAGAAUAAGCACCGGCUAACUUCGUG